rnacentral:rRNA from 1 species
UGGGGGGGAAAAGAAACUAACCAGGAUUUCCUUAGUAGCGGCGAGCGAACAGGAAAGAGCCCAGCACUGAAUCCCGCCGUUGUAACGGCGGCGGGAGAUGUGGUGUUCGGGAGGUUCCGCUUUCUUGUCGUCGUCCACUCCUGUCCAAGUUCGUCUUGAACGGGGCCCAUUUCCCAUAGAGGGUGCCAGGCCCGUAGCGACGGAGGACGUCGGCGAGAGGGACUCUCCUCAGAGUCGGGUUGCUUGAGAGUGCAGCCCUAAGUGGGUGGUAAACUCCAUCUAAGGCUAAAUAUUACCGCGAGACCGAUAGCGAACAAGUACCGUAAGGGAAAGGUUG